CAACCACUUGAGAGCUUCAGAGAUCCUCCUGCCGUGAAAUAUGUGAGAGUGGGGAGAAGGGGACAAGACUGAACACUGAACAGUGCUUCCCCUACAUCUAUGAAGAGUUAAAACGUCUGUUAUUGGUGGAGAAGAAAUGGACCCACAGAUCUGAUUGGUCUGCAGCUGAUAAAAGUGAGGAGUCAAGAGGAACCUGUUCUCAGGAUGGAUGUCCCUCAAGAGGGUGAGGAUGCUGUUGGUGGAAAUCAGACCGGCAGAGAUCUGAAGGAUGAAGAGUCGGUUACAGAUGGACAUCAGGGGGUCAGCAAAGGACAAGAGCUGCUCAGUGCAGAACCACAGGCACACACACCAGUGUCUCCUGUGCCCAGCUGUGAUUCUAUGAAGAGUGACCAGGCCAUGGGUCAGCCAUUCAAUGUCAGCAGUGAAUCACCACAGCCUGAUCCCAAGAUGGAUGACAUAAAGCAGCCAGCUGGGCAAGAUGACCAAACAAGCAAGAUGA